CCUACGGGAGGCAGCAGUGGGGAAUUUUGGACAAUGGGCGAAAGCCUGAUCCAGCCAUGCCGCGUGCGGGAAGAAGGCCUUCGGGUUGUAAACCGCUUUUGUCAGGGAAGAAACGGUCUGGGUUAAUACCCUGGGCUAAUGACGGUACCUGAAGAAUAAGCACCGGCUAACUACGUGCCAGCAGCCGCGGUAAUACGUAGGGUGCAAGCGUUAAUCGGAAUUACUGGGCGUAAAGCGUGCGCAGGCGGUCCUAUAAGACAGAUGUGAAAUCCCUGGGCUCAACCUAGGAACUGCAUUUGUGACUGUAGGGCUUGAGUACGGUAGAGGGGGAUGGAAUUCCGCGUGUAGCAGUGAAAUGCGUAGAUAUGCGGAGGAACACCGAUGGCGAAGGCAAUCCCCUGGACCUGUACUGACGCUCAUGCACGAAAGCGUGGGGAGCAAACAGGAUUAGAUACCCUGGUAGUCCACGCCCUAAACGAUGUCAACUGGUUGUUGGGAAGGUUCCUUCUCAGUAACGAAGCUAACGCGUGAAGUUGACCGCCUGGGGAGGUACGGCCGCGAGGUAGUAAACGUUAAAGGUAAAGUUAAACGGUUACGUGAGAGUGCCGACGGACGACGACGAGGGAGGAGG
rnacentral:rRNA from 1 species